GUUCUUGUAUGUGGAUCCGCCUUGGCUUCGUCCCUUCUCUUCGAAGCUCCAUUUCCUUUUGGAAUCAAGAAUAAUCCUAGGGAAUCAAUCUGAUAAAUUUUCUGUAAUUUCAUCCCUUUCCACACAUAUAUACUGAAAUCUAGUCGGUAGAGUGUAUAAUUAUCUCUCCGUUUCUCUAUUUUUUUACCAUUUUCUUGACCCCUUUUCAACCCUAACUUCACCAUAUGGCUACAGUUGUCGAGUUUGAAUCUCCACAACUCUUCAACGACAUGCAAGAUCUAUUCAUUGAACCCCAGAACAAAAUGAAGAGCACAACUGAGGAAACAUCCCGAGUUGGGUGCGAGAAUAACCAUCAUGGGAUUUGUGCUGUUUGUUUAAAUAAGAUAGUGCUCCAAGAAACUGCCCUUGUAAAAGGUUGCGAGCAUGCCUACUGCGUGACUUGUAUUCUUCGCUGGGCUACCUAUAAAGAGGAACCAACAUGUCCUCAGUGUAAGCAUCCAUUUGAGUUUCUGUACGUCCAUCGCUCACUUGAUGGAAGCCUUCAGGACUACAUGUUUGAGGAGAGUGUUUGCCUUCUCCUCAGGGCAUCAUGGUUUAAACCUUUGAUUGUGGAGGAAAAGACGGAGAUUGAUGAUGACAUGGAUGACAUGUACAUGUAUGAUGAUGCAGAUGAUGAUUUUACAGAAGAUUAUUUCAUUAGCAGUUCUUCAAGACUCCGUAUAGGCAAUAGACGAUGGGGAGACAAUGGAUAUGUCAGUGCAGGAAGGCAAGAAGCGAGGCCUGUUUAUCGACCAAACCCUCAGGAAUCGGGUGCUGGUUCUUCCCGCGUGCCCAAUAAGGAGACUGCUGCUUCUAAAGAACUUGUUGGGCGGCGUGCCAAGAGGGCACUGAAGCGUGAAGCUGCUGAUAAGGCGGCUGCCGAGAAGCACCAGCAGCGUUUGGUGAGGAUGGGUCGAAAGUGAGUUCUGCUCCUGAACGACGACCCUAAAGAUCUUGACUUCAGGACUCGCGCCCCUUGUACAUAUUUCACUUCUUUUAUGUGUAAAAUAAUCGACACAGUAAAGAUGCUGGAUUUACUGGUAAAUGGUAUGCACCAUGUUCAUACCCUCUUGUCAAUUCCAGAUACAUAUAAUCAUUGACAAAUGGAAAAGGAAGCUCCUUUUUUCCCCCAAUAAAUGUACAUUGUUAGGUGAACUUCAUAUUUAUCUUUUAGAUCCUUAAGAUUAGUAAUAUAUUCCAACUCCCAUCUCUGCUUCAUAUGUUAAACUAGCUAUGGAUGGAGGAUUCAAG
rnacentral:misc_RNA from 1 species